GACGAACGCUGGCGGCGUGCCUAAUACAUGCAAGUAGAACGCAGUUGCGAACGGGUGAGUAACGCGUAGGUAACUUCCUCAUAGCGGGGGAUAACUAUUUGAAACGAUAGCUAAUACCGCAUACUGUGAGCUGGACCUGCGUUGUAUUAGGUAGUUGUGGAGGUAAAGGGUCACCAAGGCCCCUAUACAUAGCCGGCCUGAGAGGGUGGACGGCCAAAAUGGGACUGAGACAAGGCCCAGAAUCCUACGGGAGGCAGCAAGAGGGAAGCUGCGGCAAUGGACGGAAGUCUGAACGAGCAACGGCGCGGGGGUGAAGAAGGUUUUCGGAUCGUAAAGCUCUGUUGUGAGAGGAGCGGUAACUAAAGAGAAAGGGACGGCUAACUACGUGCCAGCAGCCGCGGUAAUUC
rnacentral:rRNA from 1 species